CCUACGGGGGGCAGCAGUGGGGAAUAUUGCGCAAUGGGCGAAAGCCUGACGCAGCGACGCCGCGUGAGGGAUGAAGGUCUUCGGAUCGUAAACCUCUGUCAGCAGGGAAGAACGGUCACUGUGCUAAUCAGCAGUGAAUUGACGGUACCUGCAAAGGAAGCACCGGCUAACUCCGUGCCAGCAGCCGCGGUAAUACGGAGGGUGCGAGCGUUAAUCGGAAUUACUGGGCGUAAAGCGCGCGUAGGCGGUAUGUCAAGUCAAGGGUGAAAUCCCCGCGCUCAACGUGGGAACUGCCUUUGAUACUGGCAAACUGGAGUGUGUGAGAGGAUAGUGGAAUUCCAGGUGUAGGAGUGAAAUGCGUAGAUAUCUGGAGGAACAUCAGUGGCGAAGGCGACUAUCUGGCACAUAACUGACGCUGAGGAGCGAAAGCGUGGGUAGCAAACAGGAUUAGAUACCCUAGUAGUC
rnacentral:rRNA from 1 species